rnacentral:miRNA from 1 species
GGGCACCACUGUAUAUAUAUAUAUAUAUAUAUAUAUAUAUAUAUAUAUAUAUAUAUAUAUAGUGGGCCCAA